rnacentral:lncRNA from 1 species
UCGAAUUUUAAAGAGUUGAUUGGCUUCCUAAAUUUAUAAUUAAGAUUAAUCUUAAAACUGUUUAGGGCCUCACGGAAGAUCCAAAAGAUCAGAUUCCUUCUAACUGCAAAAGAUCAAGGCAGAUUCUGAUCUAAUCGCAUCCGAGCUAAAACCUAUGCUUCACAGUGCAAACUAAUACGAACGAUCUGUUCCCUAAUGUCUAAGCUCAAUACAUUUUACGAUAAAGAGGUUAUUAUUUACCAGCUGAGAGAUAGCUUUGGGGAAGAGAUGGUGGUGGCGGCCAUGGGAGUUCGACGGAGGAGCUCGAUUCUCGAAAUGGAAAUGAGCCAAGACUUUCCGAUCGGGCAGAGGCUUCAACAGCAACGACUCGCUGAACUCUUCUUCUACUUCGUUCGAUCCGAAAGCUAUCGCGAGCAGAAACGAUUGCAGAAUUAACAAAGGGAUAACGGUUCUAGCCAUAAUCGGAUCCGGAGACGGUUACUGGCUUGUGUUACCGUCGAUCGAGCAUUACAGAGUAGAUCGCUGAGCUCCGGCGAGGAGAAACGCGUUUUGAGGUGUAAACGCUGGAAUAGACGCGAUUUAAGAGCGUUUGCGGAUAAAGGCGAAAUCGUGGAUUGAAAAACGAAUUUAUCAGACCCGAAGACGUGAGAGCAGAUUGGUUUACUUUACUCGCAACAUUUUUAAUUCAGCGCUUCUGUACAAUCUUAAGCUAUAUGACAACUAUAUAAAUGGAAAAAAAAAUGUAAAGAGAAUCUAUCAAACCGCCAUAACUAGAGCAACACACAAAUAUAUUACUAGUUAUGGUAAAAUUAAAC